CGGCUUAAGGCUACAAAGGGCCCUUGGGCGAAAAUAUUUUUUAGGCCUCUUAACUAAUUAAUUUUGAUAUUAUAAUUAAAAUAUUUUUAAAAACAAUAUUAAAAUUUUAAAACAAAGUAACUAAAUUUAUAAUUUUCGUUUUCAACUUUUAACUUUUAAAAACAUAGAUUUCUAUAUCACUAAAAUAUUGUCAAAAGUUAACAUUAAAAUAUCACAAAUAAAAAUCUGGAUCCUUGUUAUAAAAAUAAAAUAAUAUAUAUGGACCCUUUAUAUUAAUAAAAUUUGAUGGGGUUUAGAUGGGCCAUGGACGGAUGUACUGUUGCCCUGCCCAUUAAGCCGGCCCUGAGCACAACUAUCCUAAAGGUGAUAUAUGCCUUCUGCCACAUGUAUCGCCUGCAACUGCUCUGAUGGUGAGAAAGCAGCUAUUGACCAGAUCACCGGUGGUGAUGACAUCCUCUCACACCCCCCUGGGGUAUGGGAUGCAACAGCCGCUGCUGAGCAGCCCACUUCUGGUGGAAGCAAUGCAGAGGAACAUCUGGUUCCAGCAAGAGGAAACACACCAAAAAUCACAUAUCUCCAUCAAGUUUUAUGAUAUCUGAACCAUGUUCGCUUCUUCCACGAAUAAUAACGUCUAAGCCUAUCAGUGAGACAAAGAAUUUGUUCAGCUCAACUGCACAUAUUUUCCAUUGAGUGUCAAUGUGUCACUGGAUAAAAAAUAUAUUUACCCCGACCUCAGUCUAUUUGAUUAUAUCUCUAAUUCUAUUACCACAUCUAAAUAAGGAUUAAAAAACGAUGUAAUUCAUGUAUGAUCUCUUCUGUGUCCAACGAACUUUCAAUGUAGUAAAAUGUGCUUAUAAUAAUUCAGGAGCAUUAACAGAUUUAACAAUAUAUGUACAUAUAUGUACGCUUUGAACAUGAUGAAACCCUCUCUAUGUACGCCCAUUUCAAAAAUAUUGCAAAUUUAUAACAUAGUUGUCGUUAUGUUUUCGUAAAUAAUCAUGCAAUAUUACUUUCAAAUAUUUGUUAUGCUUUCGUAAUGGUGGUGACCGAGUGGCAUUCUUACUCUAGGCAAAAGCUUAAUACAUUUCCAAUAUAUAUUUGAAAAUAUAGGUGGUACAAAUAAAUCAAAAUAUAUGUAAGACAAGUUGAAGAAAAAACUUCAAAAAAAUAAAUGUUUUAAGACCCUUAAAAAUUAUGAAAUUAUUGGUUCUAAAGCCAAAGUAAAAUUUAAUCCGUAUAUCUUUAACAAUUAUUUUAAUUCAUUAUUUAUUUGUUUUGCUCAUUAUGUUAUACAUAGCUUUUAAUAAUAAAAAUAAAAAGUUGUUUUUUGAAACACCUAAAAAGUAAGCUUUUAUUAUUAAAAAUUUAGGUAGACAAAACAAUGAAAAUAAAUUUAAAAUUGCCUAACGACACAUAUUUUUAUAACACAUAUCUAUAUAUUCAUAUAUAAAAAAUAUAAAUACCUAACAUAUAACAAAAAUUAUAGGAAAAUCCCGGGCGACCGACCCUAG